CGUCCGAUGUAUCGGCCGGCCGAUGUUUUGGGCCGAUGGAUGAAUUUUUUUCAACAUCGGCCAUCGGCCGAUGGAAUAAAUAAAAAGCUGAUUUUUGAUCAGGCACCCUUAAGGCCACCGCUUACUGAUGGGGUCCUUUAGCUGGAGGACCCCGGGUUCAGAGCAGCGUGGAGUUGGGAGAUGGGACACGCCGAGUGCAAUCUAUCAGGCUCCCGAAAAGGCAAUGGCUGCGCAAACACAAAACCCUAUAUGGGAUCAUUUUACCCAACCAACGCCGGGGAAAGCCAAAUGCAACAUUUGUAGCACAUGCACAGUUCUUUAAAAUCUUUGUAGUGUAAGUAGCACACUGCAAAUAAGUUUGUUUUUUCAUAAAUGUUUCAACUUUGCAACUGUUUACAUAUUUAUUCUUUAUAUUUGUGUGAUGCUUCACUUUUUCCAUGUUGCAUAAAUAUGAACAAAGGAUUUGUUAAGGCACUGAGGACAGUUGAUCCAAAGACUGAAGGUUAAUGUCCAUUUUAUUUUUAACUCUGGUAUUUUAUUUUGUGUUUUAUUUUGUGUAAUGUGUAUAUUUGUGUUUAUUUAUUUCUAAUGCCAAACUGCACUACAUUUUUAUUUAUAUUUUAGAAGUGUUCAUUUUAUUGUGUGAUAACAUUAAUCAUUGAUACUGAGCAAUUUGCACUGAAGCCACUUUUCAAUUUACAGUUUUACAGUUUGAUUUGUUUACAAAAUGUCACUCAGGUUACGUUUUGAUAUUGUAUUUUUCUGUGUGCAAUUUAAAGUUAAAUAAAUGUUAAGAGUUCUACUAC